rnacentral:rRNA from 1 species
UAGGGGGUGUAGCAAUACAUCACCGGCGGACGGGUGCGUAACACGUGGGAAUAUACCUUUUGGUUCGGAACAACGCAGGGAAACUUGCGCUAAUACCGAAUGUGCCCUUACGGGGAAAGAUUUAUCGCCAAAGGAUUAGCCCGCGUCCGAUUAGCUAGUUGGUGAGGUAAUGGCUCACCAAGGCUCCGAUCGGUAGCUGUUCUGAGAGGAAGAUCAGCCACACUGGGACUGAGACACGGCCCAGACUCCUACGGGAGGCAGCAGUUGGGAAUCUUGGACAAUGGGGGAAACCCUGAUCCAGCCAUGCCGCGUGAGUGAUGAAGGCCUUCGGGUUGUAAAACUCUUUCGACGGGGACGAUAAUGACGGUACCCGUAGAAGAAGCUCCGGCUAACUUCGUG